AGUGAACGCUGGCGGCGUGCCUAAUACAUGCAAGUCGAACGGAGUGGCGCACGGGUGAGGAAUAUAUAGCUAAUCUGCCCCUUGCUGGAGGACAACAGUUAGAAAUGCCUGCUAAUACCCCAUAGCACGGGAUGAGACUAUAUCGUAUCAGCUAGUCGGUGGGGUAACGGCCUACCGAGGCUAUGACGCGUAACUGGUCUGAGAGGAUGAUCAGUAUCAUUGGAACUGAGACAGGGUUCAAACUCCGACGGGAGGCAGCAGUAGGGAAUAUUGCGCAAUGGGGGAAACCCGGACGCAGCAACGCGGCGUGGAGGAUGACAAUUUACGGAGAGUAAACUGCUUGUGUUAGGGAAGCGGUACCUAACGAAUAAGCACCGGCUAACUCCGUGCCAGCAGCCGCGGUAAUAC
rnacentral:rRNA from 1 species